rnacentral:rRNA from 1 species
GACGAACGCUGGCGGCGUGCCUAAUACAUGCAAGUAGAACGCUGAAGGAGGAGCUUGCUUCUCUGGAUGAGUUGCGAACGGGUGAGUAACGCGUAGGUAACCUGCCUGGUAGCGGGGGAUAACUAUUGGAAACGAUAGCUAAUACCGCAUAAUAGUAGAUGUUGCAUGACAUUUGCUUAAAAGGUGCAAUUGCAUCACUACCAGAUGGACCUGCGUUGUAUUAGCUAGUUGGUGGGGUAACGGCUCACCAAGGCGCCGAUACAUAGCCGACCUGAGAGGGUGAUCGGCCACACUGGGACUGAGACACGGCCCAGACUCCUACGGGAGGCAGCAGUAGGGAAUCUUCGGCAAGGGACGGAAGUCUGACCGAGCAACGCCGCGUGAGUGAAGAAGGUUGUCGGAUCGUAAAGCUCUGUUGUAAGAGAAGAACGAGUGUGAGAGUGGAAAGUUCACACUGUGACGGUAUCUUACCAGAAAGGGACGGCUAACUACGUG